GAUGAACGCUGGCGGCGUGCCUAAUACAUGCAAGUCGAGCGAACAGAUAAGGAGCUUGCUCCUUUGACGUUAGCGGCGGACGGGUGAGUAACACGUGGGUAACCUACCUAUAAGACUGGGAUAACUUCGGGAAACCGGAGCUAAUGCCGGAUAACAUUUGGAACCGCAUGGUUCUAAAGUGAAAGAUGGUUUUGCUAUCACUUAUAGAUGGACCCGCGCCGUAUUAGCUAGUUGGUAAGGUAACGGCUUACCAAGGCAACGAUACGUAGCCGACCUGAGAGGGUGAUCGGCCACCCUGGAACUGAGACACGGUCCAGACUCCUACGGGAGGCAGCAGUAGGGAAUCUUCCGCAAAGGGCGAAAGCCUGACGGAGCAACGCCGCGUGAGUGAUGAAGGGUUUCGGCUCGUAAAACUCUGUUAUUAGGGAAGAACAAAUGUGUAAGUAACUGUGCACGUCUUGACGGUACCUAAUCAGAAAGCCACGGCUAACUACGUG
rnacentral:rRNA from 1 species